ACCAUCGAACCUCCUAACUUAAUAAUUCCACUCCCCCACCAAACUCUUUCAGCAUUUAAUAGCCUUAAAAGCGUCACCCCAACCCCUCAAGACCCUCCUUAAUUAUGAUGCAGAAAGCAAGUGGAGACUAUAUUCCAUAGCUUCGUUGCCCUAUCUUUCCGCCACCGCUUCCAUACAGGAAUGAAACAUGGCUUCCAGCUACUACAAUCCUUCGUACCAGAAGCUGAAGAAGCUCUCUCCAGAAUCAGAAGAAGACGCAGCUGAGGCGGAAUUUAAAGGGGUGGUAGUGCUCAAGGGGAGGAGUGGUUGGUUCAGAUUGAAGAGAAACGGAAGGUGGCGGAGGCCGAGAGUGCGAGUGGCCGGGCUCAGAAGGUUCUUUAGGAGGAAGGCCAGAGUGGUGGGGGAUUCAGUGAGAGCUUUAAUCGCCAAGGUGCUCAAGAGAUUGAUGGAGGGAAGACCCAACCUAGGGGAGCUCUUCGCAGGCAACUACAUGUUCAUGCAAGUGAGCCCUUCUCCCACCAUCUCCUAUGUGGAGAAGUCCUUGCAUCUUGGAGCACACCACUACCACCAACGUGGCUUGUUUCCAACACCCAUUCCCAGGUUCAGUGGUCCAAGGGUUGCUUUCCAGCCAUAAUAUGUUUAAUCUUCCUCAAUCGUUAGCUUGUCACUCACUAAAAUGUUAGAACUGGGUUGAGGCAGUGAAAAGCUAUUCAAAUUAUGGACAAGUCUUUAUUGGCUAUUGUGUUGUUGUUGUAUAAGUGUAUUUUGCAUAUAAUGAAAUGUUGUCGACAUAUUUGAAUUGAUAUAUUGUGUAAAAGUUUUAAAAGACCUCUCAUAUUUAGAAUUUUGAAAUGUUAAGUUUAAUUUGUACAAUAAUAUAAACUUGUUGUAAACAUUGGUUUUGUAAUCAUAUAGAUUGUCACACUUAUAGAUUUA